UAUUUAUAAUCUUCAAAUUCUCACGUUUCAAACCUGUGCUCUCGUUUGUGUGGCUGGAUAUCUAGAAAAUGUACCUGCUUGUGACUGUAAAAAUUAUAUUACUAGACUCAACGAAAAAUGAAACGUUAUUGUAGUUAGUGAAAAUAUUAGUGACUCAGGCCCAAUAAGUAUAAUCAGCAAUAUGUUAUAAUCAAUUUUAUAUCAUAAGGGUUUCCCUCCAAUAGCUCACAGCUCAGUGAGAAAUACCAUCAAAGACAGACAUAAAUGCUCGUUUUUCUGGUUAAUAUAACAGAGUAUCAGCAAGAGGAUGCAGGAGAGUUGGCCUCUCACGGACAUUAACAGCUACUGAUACUCAAUGUCUACACAUUUCAACUCAAGGGAUAUAAAACAGUAACAUUCAGCAGGCUGAAGCAUAAGAUCAAGCCUCAGAGGCUCUCCCUGUUUACUCUGCAAAGAAACUGACAGGGAGCAUGGGCUGGGUGGGGUUCAGAGUGGAGCAUGCGCUGUGUGAGUCCAGAGUGGAGCAUGCGCUGUGUGAGUCCAGAGAGGAGCAUGCGCUGUGUGUGUCUAGUGCACAUGCUCACUGUACUUGACUUCAACCAACCAUGACAACAGCCCUGGGCAGGAGGCUCUUCAAUUAGCAUGAUGUGACAGAAGACACAGACAUCAAAUCACUUGUCUAAAGGGGCAAUGGUCACUGCAGAACCAAAGGCAGCAAAGUCUCUCUGCAGACGCAUGCUCCCACGAUGUGUGCCUCCUGUGUAUCUGUAUGGGAGCAUGUGCACAUUGAGUGCAGGUACCCAAGGAGGCCAGAAGAGGGCGCUGGAUCCCUGAAGCUAGAGUCACAGACUGUUGUGAGCUAUACAAUAUGGAUGCUGGGAACCAAACUUGGAUCUUCUGCAAAUACAGCAAGGGCUCCUGAUCACCAAACCACUCCAUCCCCCACUCUCCUGUGACCCCCCCCACUCUCCUGUGGGUGUCAUUUACUUCCAAAGUUUGUAUUCACCUUUUAUUGGCCUGGGGCACGCUACUGAAGGACAUGGAAUGAACCAAUUGGUAAAUGACGGCUUAUGUUCUUCAAGACUGCAUGAUGGAUUUGGAGGUUAAAUUAUUACAAAUUCUCAGGUGACGAGGUGGAAUUGGGCAUAAAUUGAUGGAAAGAAAAAAGCAUUUGAAGUUCAAUUUUGGUUUUAUUACCUAGGAGCUUUUUAUCCUGCAAGUUAGGACAAAAAAAAAAAAAAGAAAGAAAGAAAAAGAAAAAGAAAAAGAAAAAGAAAAAGAAAACCUUUCUUCCAUCCAGUGUGGCAAGGUAGCAUUCAAUUUGGUAGGUCAGCAUUCAGGGACCAGCACUAGAAUUCUCACCAUCUGGUGUGUGGCUGUGCUUAAGUAUGAAUCAUUAUAUAUAUGAAACAUCUCAGAUAUUUUAAUAUUUUAUAUAAACUGCAUUAUUCUGAGUACCUAGUGUUAAAUAUUUAGUAGCAGAUUUUCUCAUUGUCAGCACCUAAUUAUUUUUCUGAUAUCUAACAUUUUUAUAUUAACUAUCGACUCACUUCCAAAAAUGCCAAGAACAAUCCCCGUGGUUAUAAAUGAACAUCAAGAAACACAUCUGAAGUACUCUUGCAUAGUGCAGCCUGGAGUAAUUGGUUAUCCUUCACUAACCGACCAGAUUUUGUCUGUAAUUUUUACUGAUCUAAAUUGUAGUGGAUACAUGAAUGUCACUAGAAAAAUUCAAAGACUGACUUCUGAGAUGGCUGAUUUAGCGGUCAUGUUCACCCAACUGGGAGGUGAGAACUUCACCUGAGGAAUUGUCUCCAUGAGAGACCGGCCUGUGAGGGUGUCUUUGGGGCCUUUCCUUUAUUGCUAAUUAUCAUGGGAGGGCCCAGCCCACUCUGGUGAUCCUGAGCUGUAUUUGAAAGUUAUUUGAGAAGAAAAGAAAGAGGUAAAGGAGGGGAGAGUAGGGAAGAGAAAGAGAGAAGACAGGAGAGAGAACUGGUCACCAAGUAGCUUUCCUCCAUGGUUCCUGCCUCUGCUCCUGCCCUGCCUUCCUUCGGAGACAGACCCAGCAUCUAAGUCAAAACAGCCUUUCCUCCCCGGGUUGCUUUUGGUCAGUGUCUUUCAUCAGAGCAACAGUAAAGUAAGCUAAGACGGCUUCUUCCAAUUUUGGAGCAACUGCCGCACCUAGAUUAAAAUAUAUCGGAGUAA